GAGAGGCUGCUGGCUGAGAGUUUUCAGGACCAUGUAAAUCAUGGGUGGGCAGGCAGGUGUGAGAUUCAAGCAGUGGAUCCUGGGUGCGAGAGUAAAGGUGUUGCAAACACACUCAGGUCUCUCUCUUUCCAUCUGCCAAUAUCCGCCCUCCCGGCCAGGGAGGACAAUGGACAGCCAGCCGGGGGUGGGCCUAAGGCCAAAGGAAAAGAGGCUGACUCCUGGGCUCAAGCCUCUUUUGCUGCUCUUCCUUCUGGUAUCAAGAUCAGGAUCAGGAGUGUAUCCAGGCGGCCGGACUGAGGCACCAGCGAUGCAUCCAAGCUGUACCAUGCACAAUGAAUCAAACUUGCUUCCCUGAAAUUCUCAACAGCCUUCUCACCUCCCAGCUUGUGCCACUCUUCUUCAGGGAUGCAGAAAUACUACAGGUGCCCCUCUCACACUGCGAGAAGGCUGCACUCAAAAACUUAAAGGUUGGCAGGAGCAGGGACCAAGCAACAGGAGCUCACCCCAUUG